ACCGAUGUCGGCGAUUACGCCAUCAAGCUCCGCAACAUCCGGCGCUUCCUUGAGGAAGGCGACAAGGUCAAGAUCAACAUCCGCUUCAAGGGCCGCGAGAUGGCGCACCAGGAGCUGGGUAUCGCGAUGGCGAACAAGAUCGAGGCCGAUCUGGGUGACGAGGUGGUGAUCGAGCAGCGUCCGCGCCUCGAAGGCCGCCAGAUGGUGAUGAUGAUCGCGCCCAAGAAGAAGCAGUAAGCGUCUUCGAGCGUCAUCGCGCAGGCCCCGACCGUUACUGGCCGGGGCCUCGCGCUUCAAGGAUUUCCCGCGCAGGAUGCGGCGGG
rnacentral:misc_RNA from 1 species